rnacentral:tRNA from 1 species
GUCCUUUUCGUCUAAUGGUUAGGACGGCAUCCUUUCACGAUGUAAAUAUGAGUUCAAAUCUCAUAAAGGAUA